GACGAACGCUGUCGGCGUGCUUAACACAUGCAAGUCGAACGAAGUGGCGAACGGGUGAGUAACGCGUAAUCAAACUGCCCUUCAGAGGGGGACAACAGUUGGAAACGACUGCUAAUACCGCAUACUGAAGGAGGGGCUUGCGUCUGAUAAGCUAGUUGGCGGGGUAACGGCCCACCAAGGCGAUGAUCAGUAGCCGGUCUGAGAGGAUGAACGGCCACAUUGGGACUGAGACACGGCCCAGACUCCGACGGGAGGCAGCAGUGGGGAAUCUUCCGCAAUGGACGAAAGUCUGACGGAGCAACGCCGCGUGAGGGAUGACGGCCUUCGGGUUGUAAAGCUCUGUUAAUCGGGACGCGGUACCGGAAUAGAAAGCCACGGCUAACUACGUGCCAGCAGCCGCGGUAAUUC
rnacentral:rRNA from 1 species